AUCCAACUGACAAGUCCCAAAUAGAACUAAACUCACGUCCUAGAU
rfam:Schistosoma mansoni, Puerto Rico, WGS project CABG01000000 data, contig: 0239